UACGUAGGGCGCGAGCGUUAUCCGGAAUUAUUGGGCGUAAAGAGCUCGUAGGCGGUUUGUCACGUCUGCUGUGAAAACUGGAGGCUCAACCUCCAGCCUGCAGUGGGUACGGGCAGACUAGAGUGCGGUAGGGGAGAUUGGAAUUCCUGGUGUAGCGGUGGAAUGCGCAGAUAUCAGGAGGAACACCAGUGGCGAAGGCAGAUCUCUGGGCCGUAACUGACGCUGAGGAGCGAAAGCAUGGGGAGCGAACAGG
rnacentral:rRNA from 1 species